AUGAGCCGCCGCUUUCCCCCUGGAGCUAUGAGCAGACGCAUCUUGGAGCGGAAAAUUCAAGACCGGUACCAUGCCGGACACAUUGGCACUCACAACGCACUCAACCUGUUCGACGAAUUGAUCCAGGUUGCUGGGCCUUCCUCGGUCCGCGCCAUUAACUGCCUCCUCACCGUCGUCGGCCGUGAUUGCCCUGUGCUGGGCGUCUCCCUCUUCAACCGUGUUGCAAGAGCCAAGGUGCCUCCCCACAAUAUCACCUAUAGCAUUCUAGUCGACUGCUGCUGCCGUGCUGGCUGCUUGGACCUUGGACACGCUGCCAUGGGACACGUUAUUAAGCUGGGAUUUACAGAAGCUAUCGUCAAUUUCAGCCACCUACUCAAGGCCAUCUGUGCGGAGAAGAAGACCAGCUAUGCAAUGGACAUUGUACUCCGAAUAAUGCCCAUGUUUAACUGUGUACCAAAUAUUUUCUCCUACAGCAUUGUUUUCAAGGGUCUCUGCAACGAGAAGAGAAGCCAAGAGGCUCUUGAGCUGAUUCAAAUUAUGGUUGAGGAUGGAGGUUGCUGCCGACCUGAUGUGGUGACCUAUAGCACUGUAAUUGAUGGCUUGUUGAAAGAGGGUGAGGUGGACCAAGCUUACAACCUAUUUUCUGAAAUGCUGCGUCAGGGGGUAUCGCCGAAUGUUGUGACCUGUAGUUCAAUCAUCUCUGGCAUGUGCAAAGCUCAAUCAGUGGACAAGGCUAAGGAGGUUCUUCAACAGAUGUUUGAGAGAGGAAUUCUGCCAAAUAUUACCACAUAUAAUAGUCUGAUACAAGGCUAUUAUUCAUUAGGACGGUGCAAAGAGGUGGAUCAGAUUUUCAAGGAGAUGACUAUAAAUGGUGUCCAACCAGAUAUUAUAACUUACAAUAUACAGAUGGAUUAUCUUUGCAAGAGCGGUCAAUGUGCAGAAGCUAGGAAGAUUUUUGAUUCUAUGAUCAGUUUGGGCCAAAACCCGACUGCUACUACCUACAGUAUUCUGCUUCAUGGGUAUGCUAUGGAAAAAUCUUUUCAUGAUAUGCAUUGUCUUAUUGAUUUGAUGGUAGAAAAUGGCAUUUCACCUGAUCAUUAUGUCUACAACAUACUCAUAUCUGCAUACGCUAAAGAAGAAAUGGUUGGUGAGGUAAUGCAUAUAUUUACAAAAAUGCGGCAGCAAGGAUUGAACCCUGAUGCAGUGAGCUACGGAACAGUAAUAGACUUACUUUCCAGGAUUGGCUGA
rnacentral:rRNA from 1 species